UUUUUUUCUUUUUUCUCUCUCGUGUAAAGAAAUCUCAAAACGUUACAUUUUUCCCAAUUCACUCUCGUCAAAUGUCAGAACGCUGCUCAAGAAGUUUCACUUCAAUAAUAGUGUGAUCAACGGUAAUUCAUCUCUGACAGCUACAGCAGCAACGAGAGCGGCUCCACGACCACUUCCAUCGUCAGACAACAUCAAGUCAAACUGAAAAAUAUAAAAAAAGUUUUGAUUUUAAUUUAAAUUACUUAAAUCGAACCUACAAGUAUAACAUGCCUGCUAAUCAUGGUUGUACACAAAAGUAGCAUUAUUAGCGAUUCAUUCAAAAGAGUAAAUGAUAUGUAUUGUAACAGCUGACUAUAGCAGGGCCGUAGCUAAGAAUUUUCUAUGGGGAGAGUCCAGUUCCAUAGAUAGAAAUUUAUUUUAUAAAGGAUAUCACUAUAGGACAUUUUAUUGAGUUAAACAUCAAAAUUGUGAGAAUAUAAAUAAACAAAUAAAUUUAUUAAAAUUGAAAAAAAACCAACACAAGUGAAAAGAACUAGAUACACUACAUAUAAAUCAUAAAUUAUAA